AACGAACGCUGGCGGCAGGCUUAACCCAUGCAAGUCGAGCGCAUCCUUCGGGGUGAGCGGCAGACGGGUGAGUAACGCGUGGGAACGUACCCUUUCCUACGGAAUAGCUCCGGGAAACUGGAAUUAAUACCGUAUACGCCCUUAGGGGGAAAGGUUUAUCGGGGAAGGAUCGGCCCGCGUUGGAGUAGCUAGUGGGUGGGGUAAAGGCCUACCAAGGCGACGAUCCAUAGCUGGUCUGAGAGGAUGAUCAGCCACAUUGGAGCUGAGACACGGCCAAAACUCCUACGGGAGGCAGCAGUGGGGAAUAUUGGACAAUGGGCGCAAGCCUGAUCCAGCCAUGCCGCGUGAGUGAUGAAGGCCUUAGGGUUGUAAAGCUCUUUCAGUAGGGAAGAUAAUGACGGUACCUACAGAAGAAGCCCCGGCUAACUUCGUGCCAGCCGCCGCCGUAA
rnacentral:rRNA from 1 species